GAAAGAAGGAUAGAUGUGAAGCCCCAUCUGGUGGAAAAAGAGUUAUGUGUGAAGAUGGGUGUCCAGUUGGGCAAAGAACAAGUGAAGUAGAAGUAUGCCUGUGGGGGACAUGAAGUACUUAUUCCCAAAAUGGAAGUGGAUUUGAUGUCAAGUUUGCAAGUUAAGAAUCUAUUUCCAUCUCUGUGGUCGGAAAGUAUCAGCGUCAUUGGAGAAGACUUCAGUGUGCGUCGUUUGGAGCAAUUGGGCUUUGAUAAUGUAUUAUUUGGGUCAAGAUGUGAAGCCUUGUCUGUUUGAUGGCUAGAAUGUAGUAGAGCAGUGGGGCUGAUGUCACUGUGUUCUGGUAGAUACCUGAGCAAUUAUAUCAUGAAAUGGCAUCCGUGUCAUUUCUGUUAUUUGAAUUGGAGAGGGUGGGUUCAUUUGAUUGGUCAGUUAUGUGGUGAUGUUCCUGUAAGUACUUGCACAAAAUGUAAUUGUUUUCUGAAAGGAGUGGUUUGUUUGCCACUUGGAAUGUUCUAGCCAUCAAAGUUGCAAGAGGACACAGUUGAGGGUUGUAUCAUCUAUUGGGGCAUCCCGAAGUGUUUGUGAAUUGUGUUCAUAAUGAUGUGUAUGCUGUAUUUGUUAAGUUGUAAUGUAUAGUUUUCGUUGUGAUUGGAUGACUCCCUUUGUCAUCCACGUUGUAGCGUGCUAAAUCAAUGCAGUGAUUUUUGAAACCAUGGUACAGUGCAGUCAAACAGCCGGAAGGCUGACGUUAUAACAAAUUUGUCAGCCUUUUGGCUGUUUCGCUGCACUGUACCAUGGUUGGGACUGUCCCGGACAGUCUUUGACUUAACAUUUUGUACAUGGAGGUGCUGUAGAGGGAGCAUGCUGGCCAGCUGCUAGGGGAGGUAUAGUCAGGUCCCAUUCCUGCCUCUCACAAUAGAUGCAUGGUUUUGGACAUGUGAUGGGGAUGUGUAGAAGGAUAUGGAGGUGAAAUGCCAGGGUUGCUUAUGUUAAUGUUUGUGUUACAUAAAGGUUUGUUGU